rnacentral:rRNA from 1 species
AAUUUGGUUUUUAAUGAGUAAUAUUGUAAUUAACGGAUUUGUAACUGGGAUGAAGUCGUAACAAGGUAGUCGUACGGGAACGUGCGGCUGGAAUAAAAUUUUAAAAUUUUAAGCAUAAAAGGGCUGCCUUGGCAUUAGAAAAAAUUAGUUGUGUAAUGCAAAAAGUGUAUAUUUUAGAUUUAUUAAUAUACAAUAGCUAAUGAAAAAAUUCAUCUAUAAGAGAUUAAAAAUAAAGUGAAGUAAAAUAUUUUAGUAACUUUUAUAAAAAAUCAAACGAGUUUAAGUAAGUAAUGACGAGUGAACGCUUAAAAGGGUAUCUUUUAUUAUUCUAGUAUUAAAAUUCCAUAGAAGGUUUGAGUCCUGUAUUAGUACAUAGAUAAUAUUAGUUAAUAAAAUAAGGAAUUAUGUUAAAUUUAUUAUUAUAUUAGGAUCUUCCCUAAACCCUAAAAUUUCUAAUGACCGAUAGUGAACAAGUACCGUGAGGGAAAGGUGAAAAAGUACUUUAAUAGAUACAACCUAAAAUUUUAUGCGUAUUUAAUUAUUAUUAAAUUUAAAAUUAGUAAUAAUGUACCUUUUGCAUAAUGGGCCAGAGAGUUUAUAAAUAUAGCAAGUUUAAUUUAAAAAUAGACGAAGUUAAAACAAGUUAUAAAAAGCAUAAUAGUUAUAUUUAUAAGACCCGAAGCUAAGUGAUCUAAUCAUGAGCAAGUUGAACUAGAGAUGGUAACAUUUUUUGGAAGACUGCACCCAUAUCUGUAGAAAAAGAUUGGGAUGACUUGUGAUUAGGAGUGAAAGGCUAAUCAAACUUAGGGAUAGCUGGUUUUCUGCGAAAUAUAUUGAAGUAUAGCGUGCAACGAAUAAUAAAAAGGGUAGAGCACUGUUAAAGGGCGGGGAAUUUAUAAUUUUACCAAUCUUUGACAAACUCCGAAUAUUUUUAUUUCAUUUUGUACAGUCAGACAAUUGGUGUUAAGAUCUAUUGUCAAGAGGGAAACAGCCCAGAUUAUCUGUUAAGGAUUUUAAAUUUAUAUUAAGUGUUAAAAGUAUUAUAGAAUUUAUACUAUCAUGAAAUAGGUUUGGAAGCAGCCAUUUUUUUAAGAAAGCGUAACAGCUCAUUGAUAUAAUUUUAUAGUCUUGACAAUAUAAAAAAUCUUAAAUAUAAUUCCGAAACAAUAAUUAUUUAUAUAAGUAAGGUAGCAGAACGUUCUAUGUAUUAGAAGAUUAUUUUUAAAAAUAGUUGAAGAUAAUAGAAGUGAAUAUUCUGGCAUGAGUAGCGUAAAAUAAUGUAAAAAACAUUAUCGCCGAAAAUUAGAGGUUUUCUAUAACAUUUAAAAAGAAUAGAGUUUAUUAUAAAACGGCCCCUAAGAUUUAUUACGAUAGUAUCAAUUAAUGGGAAAAAAGUGUAGUGACAAAAAUUUUUAAUAAUUUUUCUGGAAAAAGCUUGCUUUCUAAAAACCGUACUUAAACCACCACAGGUUUUUUGAUAGAAUAUAUUAAGGCGUUCAAGUGAAGUAUAUUGAAGGAACUCGGCAAAUUUAAUCUGUAACUUAGGAAAAAGGAUUGAUAAUUUAUUCACAUUAAAGAGAAAGAAGCGACUGUUUAAUAAAAACACAUGUCUCUGCUAAUUCAAUAGAAGAUGUAUAGGGAUUGAUGCCUGCCCGGUGCUGGUAGGUGAAAUAAUAUUGUAUGUACAAUAGAAUGAAUCCCCAGUAAACGGCGGCUGUAACUCUGACGGUCCAAAGGUAGCGAAAUUCCUUGUCGGGUAAGUUCCGACCUGCAUGAAUGGCGUAACGACUUCUUUACUGUCUCCAGUAUAUACUUGGUGAAAUUAAAAUGGUUGUGAAGAUGCAAUCAAAAUACAAUUAGACGGAAAGACCCCGUGCACCUUUACUAUAAUUUUAUGUUGUAAUUUUUUAAAUUUUGUGUAGUAUAGGUGGGAGAUUUAUUCAAUAAUGAAAUACCACUCUUAAUUUUUAAAAUUACUUAAUAUUUUCAAAAAUAGACAGCGUAAAAAGGGUAGUUUGACUGGGGCGGUCGCCUCCUAAAAAGUAACGGAGGCGUACUAAGGCAAAUUCAAAUAUUUUUAUAUUGGAGCACGUAAUGGUAAAUAUUUGCCUGACUGUAAGACUAACAAGUCAAGCAGGGAUAAUAGUCGGUCAUAGUGAUCUGAUGAUUCUGAGAGGAUAGAUCAUCACUUAACGGAUAAAAGGUACGCCGGGGAUAACAGGCUAAUGUUUUCUGAGAGUUCUUAUCGACGAGAACGUUUGGCACCUCGAUGUCGGCUCAUCACAUCCUGAAGCUGAAGAUGGUUUCAAGGGUUCGGCUGUUCGCCGAUGAAAGUGGUACGUGAGCUGGGUUUAGAACGUCGUGAGACAGUUCGGUCCCUAUCUUUUGUAUUUGUUGAAAAUUAGAAAGAUUAAAUUUUAGUACGAGAGGACUAAAUUUUUUAUACCUCUGGUGUAUUAAUUGUUAAUAAAAAGCACGUUAAGUAGCUAAGUAUAUAAGAGAUAAUUACUGAAUGCAUAUAAGUAAGAAACUUUCUUUUAAUAAAAUUUUUAAAAAGCCGUAGUAGAUUAUUACGUUGAUAGGUUGCUCAUAUAUGUGAAGUAAUACUAAUGCUUAUUUUUAUAUUUUAAUACCUUGGAUGUUUUA